AAUUAUUAAAAACCUCCGAAAAAUCCAACGGUUAUAAGGAUGGGUGUAAUUUAACUAAAGUUUUCCCAAAUUUUGAUGUCCCAGCAACAGUUAAAAGUGAAAAAUAAAAAACAAAAAUCACACUCACACACACACACACACACACACACACACGGUGUACACACCAAAACCCCAAAAAAAACACCCUAUAAUCCUCUCAUCCCUCAUUUCUCCUCAAUAGCGAAGUUAGGGUUACAAAAUUGGGGUUUGAGCCCAACACACAAAAAAAAUAAAAAUAAAAAUAAAAAUAAAUAAAUCAAUAAAACCCCAAAACAGGCCCUAUAAUCCUCUCAUCCCGAUAUCUCGUCAACAGCAAAGUUAGGGUUACAAAUUUGGGUUUAAGCGAGGAGUCAAGUAGCGCGAAGUAGAGCAGCGGCCGAUUUCACCGGAAAAAGAUAAAGAUGGGUCCUGAGGGCUGUGACAUUCCUAAGCCUGAGAAGCAAGAAUGCAAUGCAAUUGAAUUGGAAAGGCUCUACAGGGGUCUUGACAUUAUUGACGAGAAGCCUGAGAAGCAAGAAUUUAAUCCAAUUGACUUGGAAAGGCUCUACAGGGAUCUUGACAUUGUUGACGUUAAAAGUCUCUAUAGGAGAGUCGAGCUAAUGGAAGAUCAGAUGAAGUUAAUAGACUUGAAUUUAGUGUAUAUCACCAAGGAAGUGCAAAAGGAGUUUUUGAGGAGGACUGGAGGUGGAGUUUACGCCACACCGGAGUUAUUGAGCUUGACUAGAAAAGCAUUUGCCGGACUUGACGGGACCAAUCAUGAUGGCUGAUGAUGAUGAUGAUCACGGGACUGAGCACUGCGAGGAGGAUAGGGAUGCUGAGCUGACCAAGCAGAUUCAACAGCUCUAAAUGUCCCAAAAGGCUAUUUUGCUGUUUAUGUUGGAGAGAGUGAAAACAAGCAGUUUGAGAUUCCAAUAUCGUACUUGAACCAGCCUUUGUUCCUAGACUACUACUAAGUCUAGCCUAGGAAGAAUUUGGGUUUGAUCAUCCAAUGGGCGGUCUCACUAUUCGUUGCAGAGAGGACGUCUUCAUUGAUAUCACUUCUCAGUUGAGCAGAUCAUGAGACAAUUCUAUGCAUAUAGACAUAAUUUUGUAAAUCAGUAGUCAUCAUAUCUGUAUACAAACUUGAAUUUGGUACCUUUUAUUUAUUAUUAUUAUUUUCCAGCUGGGAGAUUGGGAUGAAAAAAUUGGCCCUUAUCAGACAAUUUCAAAAGCAACAUUAUUUCUUCAAAA